GGGGGUACAGCUCAGUGGUAGAGUGCUUGUCUAGCAUAUAAAGGGCCCUGGAUUCAAUACCCAGCACCACCA
rnacentral:tRNA from 1 species